CAAGUCGAGCGAACAGAUAAGGAGCUUGCUCCUUUGACGUUAGCGGCGGACGGGUGAGUAACACGUGGGUAACCUACCUAUAAGACUGGGAUAACUUCGGGAAACCGGAGCUAAUACCGGAUAACAUUUGGAACCGCAUGGUUCUAAAGUGAAAGAUGGUUUUGCUAUCACUUAUAGAUGGACCCGCGCCGUAUUAGCUAGUUGGUAAGGUAACGGCUUACCAAGGCGACGAUACGUAGCCGACCUGAGAGGGUGAUCGGCCACACUGGAACUGAGACACGGUCCAGACUCCUACGGGAGGCAGCAGUAGGGAAUCUUCCGCAAUGGGCGAAAGCCUGACGGAGCAACGCCGCGUGAGUGAUGAAGGGUUUCGGCUCGUAAAACUCUGUUAUUAGGGAAGAACAAACGUGUAAGUAACUGUGCAUGUCUUGACGGUACCUAAUCAGAAAGCCACGGCUAACUACGUGCCAGCAGCCGCGGUAAUACGUAGGUGGCAAGCGUUAUCCGGAAUUAUUGGGCGUAAAGCGCGCGUAGGCGGUUUCUUAAGUCUGAUGUGAAAGCCCACGGCUCAACCGUGGAGGGUCAUUGGAAACUGGGAAACUUGAGUGCAGAAGAGGAAAGUGGAAUUCCAUGUGUAGCGGUGAAAUGCGCAGAGAUAUGGAGGAACACCAGUGGCGAAAGCGACUUUCUGGUCAGUGACUGACGCUCACGUGCGCAAGCGCGCCGAUCACACAGGAUUAGAUAUCCUGUGAUNCCCCUCGGUAUACGAUGAGUGCUCU
rnacentral:rRNA from 1 species